rnacentral:rRNA from 1 species
UACGUAGGGAGCAAGCGUUGUCCGGAAUCAUUGGGCGUAAAGCGCGCGUAGGUGGCCCCGUAAGUCCGCUGUGAAAGUCAAAGGCUCAACCUUUGAAAGCCGGUGGAUACUGUGGGACUAGAGUACGGAAGAGGCGAGUGGAAUUCCUGGUGUAGCGGUGGAAUGCGCAGAUAUCAGGAGGAACACCGAUGGCGAAGGCAGGUCUCUGGGCCACUACUGACGCUGAGAAGCGAAAGCAUGGGGAGCGAACAGG